rnacentral:rRNA from 1 species
AUGAGUUGUCUGAGCUGGAACUGCCGGGGGCUUGGGAACCCCGAGGCAGUUCGAGAGCUUCACAGCAUUGUGAAGCUAGAAGGACCCACUCUCCUCUUUGUUAUGGAAAUGAAAAUCAGUGCAAAAAGAGUUGAGGACUUGAAGUACACUCUAGGUUUUGGAGGUUGUUUUGCUGUAGACAGUGCCGACCUUAGUGGCGGUAUUGGUCUUUUCUGGUCUCGCGAUGUA